rnacentral:rRNA from 1 species
CAGGAUGAACGCUGGCGGCGUGCAUAAUACAUGCAAGUCGAACGAGGGCUUCUUGUAGCAAUACGGGAAGUUCCUAGUGGCGAAUGGGUGAGUAACACGUGGGUGACCUGCCUCGAAGAGUGGGAUAACAGUUCGAAAGGACUGCUAAUACCACGUACGCUCAUCGGGAUUAGAUGCCCGAUGAUGAAAGUCGCAAGACGCUUCGAGAGGGGCCUGCGGCCCAUCAGGUAGUUGGUGGGGUAAUGGCCUACCAAGCCGAUGACGGGUAGGAGACCUUAGAGGGUGGUCUCCCACACUGGCACUGAAACACGGGCCAGACACCUACGGGUGGCAGCAGUAGGGAAUAUUGCACAAUGGGCGAAAGCCUGAUGCAGCAACGCCGCGUGCGCGAUGAAGGCCUUCGGGUCGUAAAGCGCUUUUCGGGAGGAUGAGGAAGGACAGUACUCCCGGAAUAAGUCACGGCUAACUACGUGCCAGCCGCCGC